rnacentral:piRNA from 1 species
UCCCUGAACACACUGGUACCCUAUCGCUGC